rnacentral:misc_RNA from 1 species
ACAAAUGGUGUGAAUUGAUAUUUAUAUCAAUUCAACAUAAGUGCUCCGGGUUUACUCGGUUGCAUCAUAUAUAUUCAUGAUAUUGUGAUUAUAGUGUAUAUUUAAAUAUAAAGA